UACGUAGGUGGCAAGCGUUGUCCGGAAUUACUGGGCGUAAAGCGCGUGUAGGCGGCAGCGCAAGUCGGGCGUGAAAUCCCACGGCUCAACCGUGGAAGUGCACUCGAAACUGCGCAGCUAGAGUCCUGGAGAGGAAGGUGGAAUGCUUGGUGUAGAGGUGAAAUUCGUAGAUAUCAAGCGGAACACCGGUGGCGAAGGCGGCCUUCUGGACAGUGACUGACGCUGAGACGCGAAAGCGUGGGGAGCAAACAGG
rnacentral:rRNA from 1 species